UGAUUAUACACUGAUGUGCUAAGGAAAACAGCACCAAUAUAGCUUCCCAUAAGCCCUUCGGAGUGGUUCACAUAUAUAGCCUCUCCUAGGGAGGUUCACUUGCAAACCCUUGUCAAAAAAGGAACAAAUAUGCCAUGUGAAAACUGUGCAUUGGUUAGAGGAAAUGGAUCAACACAGAGGCCACAGGGGAAAAAGUGCCAGUGGCUUAUUUAUUGAAUGAUUCAACGUUUUAGACAAGGAAAGAUUGAAGUAUGUCUCAUGAGCUGAAACCACCUUCAGGCUGACAAACUUCCACCUACAGAACUUAUAAACACUACUAUAUGAUACAUUACAUUCAGAGUCCAAUUAUAAGCAUCUUUGCUAAACCCUGGCCAAUUAAUAGUUCCAAACUGGUUUUUCCAGUGCCAUCAAUCUACCUCCCUUCUUGCAUUUACACUGCAGCCAGACAAAUGUAUAAUAUUCACUAAGGGCAGUGGCUCUAAACACUUUAGAAUAAAGAACUAUGUGGACAAAAUAUUAGGAGCUUCCAAAAGUCUAGUGCUAAAUUCUGAGCAGCAUCACCUCUCCACUGGAUUUCUGCAAUGACCUCAAUAAUAUGUCCCUCGAGUGGCAGUUUUGCUUAUUCACAUCCAUUCUCUACACUGUCCAUUGUCCUUCUGAUUAAAUUCUUUAAAUGAUUCUUCAAUGAGCACAGGAUGAAAUCAAAAUUCUUUAUCAUAAGGUUGUUGAAAGUAUGGCGCCUCUCUUCUGGAGUCUUCUUUCCAUCAGCUCACGUUCUCAAACUCCAAGUCACAGACAUUGAGGCUUUAAAUUUUCUAUGUCAUUUCACCUUUGUAUCUAGGUAUUUGUACCAUGCUAUUUCCUCAGCCUGAACACUCUCCUCCUCCAUCACAAUCCCAACUUCGCUCUCAUGACCCAGUAACUUUAAUUCAUUCCCAUUUCAUCCUAUGCUUUCUAUUAUUUUUAGUCUUUUUUUUUAAGAUUUUUUUAAUUUAUUUAUUCAUGAGAGACACAGAUAGAGAUGGAGAGGCAGAGACACAGGCAGAGGGAGAAGCAGGCUCCAUGCAGGAAGCCUGAUGUGGGACUUGAUCCCCGGACUCCAGGAUCAUGCCCUGGGCCGAAGGCAGGCGUCAAACUGCUGAGCCACCCAGGGAUCCCCCUUAUUUUUAUACCAUAGACUGAAAUAACUUGUCAAUUUUCCCUCUCAUUAUAAACACUAAUAGUUGCUAAAGACUACCUAGCAUAGUAUCUGGCACAUAGAGAGACUGGCAAAAAUACUUUGAAUGAAUAAAUGACUGAAAAACAAGUCAUCUAGCUCCUUGGUUAAAAUUAAAUUGUUACAAAAACAUACAGUAUGUUGAAAUCUGAACUUGUGUAGACAUGACAAAAUUAUGGAUGAUUAUUAUUAUGUCCUAGAGCUUAGUAAAAAUUCAAUGAAUGUUAGUAGCCACCAUUAUUUUUUAUAUUAUAAAAGCAUUUAUGUUUCAGAAAGUUCUUCACAACUAUUAUUUCCUUUCUACUACAAACUCAUAUAGAUUAUCACUUAAAACUUGUUAAAAUAGGAGUGCCUGGGUGGUUCAGACGGUUAAAUGUCCAAAUCUUGAUUUCGACUCCAGUCAUGAUCUCAGGGUUGUGAGAUCGAGCCCCUCAUUGGGCUCCGUGCUAGGUGUGGAGCCUGCUUAAGAUUCUCUUUCCCUUUUCCCUCUGCCCUUCCUACCCUCCCCGUCUCUAAACAACAAAACUUGUUAAAAUAAAUGUAGUUUGAUGUAUGUACCUUUCUUGCAAAAGCAGCUUUAUUUAAAUGAAGGAAAUUUGUAAGGACAAGAGAACUCAGAGUCAACAAAUCAUAUGGUUACAUAUGAUUGUAACAAAAAAUAAUUAUCAUUAAAAAGAACUCACCUAUAACUCUAUUUAUGUAGAGAACAGGAAAUUUGAGGACAAAAGGCAAUGAUGAAAACCCCCCCAAUGCUCCACAAAUAACUUAAUCCUAGUGAUAUACAUACAUGCGGUUUGCAUGUUAUUUUAAUAAAAGUACCUAGAGGGCACUGAUUUGCCAUAUUUUUCUGGAUCUGUGUAGCAAGCACUGCACAUGUGUGGAUAUUACUUGUGGGUAAGCACUAUUUACUCUACAAAUAAAUUACUAUGUAGCUUACAUUGUUAGGGUCGCAUGAUAGCCCUAUAGCUUAAAAGACUGAAAUAACCAUGCAUUUAUCUUGUCACUACAGGUACUUACAGUGUAAUUACAAGGUCAACAGUUAC
rnacentral:lncRNA from 1 species